rnacentral:rRNA from 1 species
GGUGAAAAGCACCCCGGAAGGGGAGUGAAAUAGAACCUGAAACCGUGUGCUUACAAGUAGUCAGAGCCCGUUAAUGGGUGAUGGCGUGCCUUUUGUAGAAUGAACCGGCGAGUUACGAUUUGAUGCAAGGUUAAGCAGUAAAUGUGGAGCCGUAGCGAAAGCGAGUCUGAAUAGGGCGUUUAGUAUUUGGUCGUAGACCCGAAACCAGGUGAUCUACCCUUGGUCAGGUUGAAGUUCAGGUAACACUGAAUGGAGGACCGAACCGACUUACGUUGAAAAGUGAGCGGAUGAACUGAGGGUAGCGGAGAAAUUCCAAUCGAACCUGGAGAUAGCUGGUUCUCUCCGAAAUAGCUUUAGGGCUAGCCUCAAGUGAUGAUUAUUGGAGGUAGAGCACUGUUUGGACGAGGGGCCCCUCUCGGGUUACCGAAUUCAGACAAACUCCGAAUGCCAAUUAAUUUAACUUGGGAGUCAGAACAUGGGUGAUAAGGUCCGUGUUCGAAAGGGAAACAGCCCAGACCACCAGCUAAGGUCCCAAAAUAUAUGUUAAGUGGAAAAGGAUGUGGCGUUGCCCAGACAACUAGGAUGUUGGCUUAGAAGCAGCCAUCAUUUAAAGAGUGCGUAAUAGCUCACUAGUCGAGUGACACUGCGCCGAAAAUGUACCGGGGCUAAACAUAUUACCGAAGCUGUGGAUUGUCCUUUGGACAAUGGUAGGAGAGCGUUCUAAGGGCGUUGAAGCAUGAUCGUAAGGACAUGUGGAGCGCUUAGAAGUGAGAAUGCCGGUGUGAGUAGCGAAAGACGGGUGAGAAUCCCGUCCACCGAUUGACUAAGGUUUCCAGAGGAAGGCUCGUCCGCUCUGGGUUAGUCGGGUCCUAAGCUGAGGCCGACAGGCGUAGGCGAUGGAUAACAGGUUGAUAUUCCUGUACCACCUAUAAUCGUUUUAAUCGAUGGGGGGACGCAGUAGGAUAGGCGAAGCGUGCGAUUGGAUUGCACGUCUAAGCAGUAAGGCUGAGUAUUAGGCAAAUCCGGUACUCAUUAAGGCUGAGCUGUGAUGGGGAGAAGACAUUGUGUCUUCGAGUCGUUGAUUUCACACUGCCGAGAAAAGCCUCUAGAUAGAAAAUAGGUGCCCGUACCGCAAACCGACACAGGUAGUCAAGAUGAGAAUUCUAAGGUGAGCGAGCGAACUCUCGUUAAGGAACUCGGCAAAAUGACCCCGUAACUUCGGGAGAAGGGGUGCUCUUUAGGGUUAACGCCCAGAAGAGCCGCAGUGAAUAGGCCCAAGCGACUGUUUAUCAAAAACACAGGUCUCUGCUAAACCGUAAGGUGAUGUAUAGGGGCUGACGCCUGCCCGGUGCUGGAAGGUUAAGAGGAGUGGUUAGCUUCUGCGAAGCUACGAAUCGAAGCCCCAGUAAACGGCGGCCGUAACUAUAACGGUCCUAAGGUAGCGAAAUUCCUUGUCGGGUAAGUUCCGACCCGCACGAAAGGCGUAACGAUUUGGGCACUGUCUCAACGAGAGACUCGGUGAAAUCAUAGUACCUGUGAAGAUGCAGGUUACCCGCGACAGGACGGAAAGACCCCGUGGAGCUUUACUGUAGCCUGAUAUUGAAAUUCGGCACAGCUUGUACAGGAUAGGUAGGAGCCUUUGAAACGUGAGCGCUAGCUUACGUGGAGGCGCUGGUGGG